rnacentral:rRNA from 1 species
AGAGUUUGAUCAUGGCUCAGAAUGAACGUUGGCGGCGUGGAUUAGGCAUGCAAGUCGAGCGCGAACCGUAGCAAUACGGGGAGAGCGGCGAAAGGGAGAGGAAUACGUGGAUACCUACCCUCAGGUUCAGGAUAGCUAUGGGAAACUAUAGGUAAUACUGAAUAAUAUCUCCGGAUCAAAGGUGUGAUUCCACCUGAGGAGGGGUCCGCGUCCUAUUAGCUAGUUGGUGAGGUAACGGCUCACCAAGGCGAAGAUGGGUACGGGAUGUGAGAGCAUGAUCCCGCUCACUGGGACUGAGACACUGCCCAGACACCUACGGGUGGCUGCAGUCGAGAAUCUUCGGCAAUGGGGGAAACCCUGACCGAGCGACGCCGCGUGCGAGAUGAAGGCCUUCGGGUUGUAAAUCGCUGUCAGUGGGGAGGAAAUGCCAGUGGGUUAUCCCAUUGGUUUGACCUAUCCGCAGAGGAAGGACGGGCUAAGUUCGUG